rnacentral:rRNA from 1 species
GGCGGACGGGUGAGUAACACGUGGGUAACCUGCCUGUAAGAUUGGGAUAACUCCGGGAAACCGGAGCUAAUACCGGAUAACAUAUCGAACCGCAUGGUUCGAUAUUGAAAGAUGGUUUCGGCUAUCACUUACAGAUGGACCCGCGGCGCAUUAGCUAGUUGGUGAGGUAACGGCUCACCAAGGCGACGAUGCGUAGCCGACCUGAGAGGGUGAUCGGCCACACUGGGACUGAGACACGGCCCAGACUCCUACGGGAGGCAGCAGUAGGGAAUCUUCCGCAAUGGACGAAAGUCUGACGGAGCAACGCCGCGUGAGCGAAGAAGGCCUUCGGGUCGUAAAGCUCUGUUGUUAGGGAAGAACAAGUAUGAGAGUAACUGCUCGUACCUUGACGGUACCUAACCAGAAAGCCACGGCUAACUACGUGCCAGCAGCCGCGGUAAUACGUAGGUGGCAAGCGUUGUCCGGAAUUAUUGGGCGUAAAGCGCGCGCAGGCGGUUUCUUAAGUCUGAUGUGAAAGCCCACGGCUCAACCGUGGAGGGUCAUUGGAAACUGGGGAACUUGAGUGCAGAAGAGGAGAGUGGAAUUCCACGUGUAGCG